rnacentral:rRNA from 1 species
UACGUAGGGUGCAAGCGUUGUCCGGAUUUAUUGGGCGUAAAGAGCGUGUAGGCGGCCAGGUAGGUCUGCUGUGAAAACUCGAGGCUCAACCUCGAGACGUCGGCGGAAACCAUCUGGCUAGAGUCCGGAAGAGGAGAGUGGAAUUCCUGGUGUAGCGGUGAAAUGCGCAGAUAUACAGGAAGAACACCCGUGGCGAAGGCGGCUCUCUGGGACGGUACUGACGCUGAGACGCGAAAGCGUGGGGAGCGAACAGG